CCUUUCCUGUAGUCUCCCUUCAAUUUUGUCUCUGUAGCCCAUCAUCUCCAGGAAGCCUGCUUGGAUUGGCAGUGCCCCAUGAUCCAGGGCUCCUGAGAGACAUAAAGGGUCUAGCUUCCCUCAGGUAACUCCCAAAUGCCCCAGCAAAUUCUCCUCUGACCGUUCAUCAACAUGCUGCAGCUGCUGGGGGUGGCGGCCAAUGAGGUCUCGCACGGUAGUGCCAGGGCUCAGGCUGCAGUAUAGCUGGAACACAUCCCGGAG
rnacentral:lncRNA from 1 species